rnacentral:misc_RNA from 1 species
AUUGAGAGUUAUCUCCCGUUUUUAAUCAUGGCGCAGUCCAUGCAGAAAGUUUAUAGCAGUAUUUGGGACCAAGUUUUAUCUCUUUUAUUUGAACAUUCACCACUUAAAAAUAAUGAGGAGAAUUUAAAAAAGAAUACGGUGAUAUAUCGUAGAAGCAAACGACUUCGUAAUGGCGAUGCGAUCAUCCCACGUGGCCGACUAUCUGAUAUAUCUUCGGAGACUUGGCAGCAUAUAUAUUCUGAGAUUGAGACAAGAAGCAAAACAUGGUCAAUACCUGUGACUUGUGGUCAACCAACAAAGGAAGCUGUGGCAGUUUUUCACCUUCAACGUCCUCAUGCCUUUCAACAUGUUUUAAAAUUAGUUCAGAUGCAGGGUAACCAGUAUGGACUAAUAUCAGACAGACAGGGCUACAACAUAUUUGUCAACUGUAGUCAUAUCAACACACAGCAGAACAAAUCUCUUGAUCACCUUGAACACAUCCGAGAAAUUAUUUUAUUAGAUCACAUCAUGAAAUUAUUGACUGCCAGUGGGUACUCUGUAGCAGGGAUUAUUUCAGACUCUAAUCAGUGGGAUGCAGAGUUACUUCAGAUGUUGAAUGCAACACACAUUUCCCAGAAAAUUGUUGAUGCUUCUUUGCCAUGUGGGUCAUCUGCAGUACAAUCAACCUUGUGUCAGGCAGCCAACAAGUCCAAUUUCAGGCAUCACUUUUCCACAAACAGUGCAGUCACAUCAAAUAAAGAUGAUUUUGUACAAAACCAUAUAGUUUUAGAUUUAAAAAAUUACUUAGAUUCUGAAGAAGGAAAAUGUGAGAGAAUUAAAGGAUUUGAUAAAAAUCUUCAUUUAGUGAAAGUCACUGAAGGUGAUGACCCAACACUUCUAAUGUUACGGGUGUCUCAACUUGAAUCCUGUUCUAAAGUUCUACAACAAAAGGAGGAUCAGCCUGUUAGGUGUUGUAUUCAUCUUGUACCAUCUUCUGAAAUAUAUGUCCAGCAGCAAGUCCAUCUCAUUUGGAAAAUCCUGUCAGACAACUGUAAACAAUUACAGCAGGCACAUGUUGUAUUUGGUGGAACCACCAAGAGAAAAUCUCUCAAAGAAGCUAUUGAUUGUGUAACAGCUGAAGAAUACAUCAGGCUUCGAAAGCUACAGAUGGAAAAUGCUACAGCAUUGAAAUAUGGGGAUAAUGUGAGCAAAGGCAUUGAAUGGGACCACAUGAUAAAGAAUCUGACUGAAGCUUGCAUGAAGUUCGAAAUUCUCAGCACUAACUGCCGUAACCCACUCAAGUUAAACCUGUCUGAUACAUCAAAAAAUAUGGAAGAUCAUGUUGACAAUUGUGGUGGCCCUUUUGUCAUGUAUAAUUGUGCUCGUCUAGCAAUGCUUUUUCGGAAAUUUGAUGAAGAUGUUAAAAACGGUAUUUACCCUAGUUUGCCUAGCCUGUCGCAGUGUGAUAUGAGUCUUCUUAAACUUGAGAAUGGACACUUCUUUAUAAUUUUGUGGAACCAUACCCCAGUUUGAUACAGAGCACUGUCCCUACCAUUGGAGAUUGUUUAUAUUUAAAUAUUCAAACUCAUAAGGUUGCUGGUUUUUUGGUGUCAUUAAGUCACUGCUUAAGUUCCUACUACAGUCGAGUUCAUGUUCUUGGG